rnacentral:lncRNA from 1 species
GUUCAGCUUAUCCAGUCCUAGGGGCUUUCAUCCAAUAGUGCAAACUGCCCCUUCCUCACACAGGGCAGUUGGGUUUUGCACUCCCCCAUCGCUGAGUUUUUGUUUCAUCCGUCAAGGUCCCAUCUUCUGAAUUUGCUGACAUCUCUCACCUGGAUUGUCUUUGCCUGGCUUGUCUUCUGCUGACUGCUCAUCCACUCCCCAACCUCAUGGGGCUGGGGUUCUCAGAGCACAUCCAUGCACCGUCUUGUUUGUCUACACCUUUUCCUGAGUUCUGUGGAUCAGGAGUUAAGGCGUGACUGAGCUGGAUGGCUCUGGCUCAGGGAUUCCCAUGAGGUUGAAAUCAAGAUGUCAAUCAGGACUACAGUCAUCUGAGGGCUUGCCUGGAGCUGGAGGAUCUGUUUCCAAGAUGGCGCCCUCACCAAGCUGUUGACAGGAGGCCUCAGACCUUCGCCACAUGGCCUCUCCAUAAGGCUGCUUGAGUGUCCUCGCAGACAUGUCAGACCUAUUUCCCCAUCUGCAAAAUAAGAAGACCGACUUCAAUGACCACUAAGGUUUCAUUUUCAGUCAGUUGUGUCCCAGCGUUCCAGCGCUGAGACCCUAGGCCUUGACCGCAGACCUCAGGCAGCCUCCUCCCGCUCCCCCUCCCUCCCUGCAAGACUCGCUGGCUCUUGGCCCCAAAUGCAACUACCUCCCAUCAGUGCCUAAGCCAUACCUGGGUUUAUCAGCAUCUCUAGGGUGGGACCCAAACAUCAGUAGGUUUUACAUCUCCCAAGUGAUUCCAACAUGCAGCCAUGGUUGAGGACCACUGCUCCAACUGCUCCACGUGAACCCUCACAUGGAGAAUCUUUCACCAAAUAAAACGACAUCGUAUUUGACUAAUUACUGAUUUGUCUUU